rnacentral:rRNA from 1 species
UCGGGAAUAUUGCGCAAUGGAGGAAACUCUGACGCAGUGACGCCGCGUGCAGGAAGAAGGUUUUCGGAUUGUAAACUGCUUUAGACAGGGACGGAACAAAUGACGGUACCUGUAGAAUAAGCUCCGGCUAACUACGUGCCAGCAGCCGCGGUAAUACGUAGGGAGCAAGCGUUAUCCGGAUUUAUUGGGUGUAAAGGGUGCGUAGACGGAUAAACAAGUUAGUUGUGAAAUACCUCGGCUUAACUGAGGAACUGCAACUAAAACUAUAUAUCUUGAGUACUGGAGGGGAAAGCGGAAUUCCU